ACGAUUCACACAAACACAGACAACAGCGACACCUUCAACGUCAUCAACUCCAUCAUCUGGAGAAAGCCCUUUAAACCGCAGGCGUAGGGAGGAGGUUUCUCAAAGCCACCGAAGGAGGGUCCGUAGAAGACUGGAGCGUUGGGAGUCAGCGUGAAGCCACCUGUUUCCUGGGUGCCUUCCUGUGGCUGUGGCUGGGGGGCAUGCUGGUUCUCCUCGGACGGACAGGUGGUGGAAGAAAAGCCCGUGGUGGAGGAAAGGCCCGUGUCGGUCAUCAUCUGGGGCGUAGGAAGUUGCUGGAAGUUGGUGUUAUGCUGGCGCCCAGGAUGGCAGCAGUUAUGAUGCCCAGGAUUAAGGCCAUGAUGUUGAGCACCACAGAGGUCCACAUGAGACGGUAGAGGUGGAUCACGUCCCAGCAGCUGCUGACACCAGUGAACGCAAAGUAAGCUGCGUCUUCGUAUGUGCUGCAGGAGGGCAAGAGAACAUGAGGAACUUACGAUGUAUUCCGAAGCAAUGAUUCCGUCAACAAUAGCACAGAGAAAGGAGACGAUCACACCGAUGCUGAUGAAGAUGAUCGCUGCGAUGAGCUUCAAGGAGAGGAGGAAGAAAGCUGACUGAAAAACCAAUCGAUGAGUUCUACAGGAACAGUCUUCAUCAAACCAGGAGAGCGGCUCCGCUCCUGAAAAUCCAGAGCCAAUCAUAUUUGCCUCUCUGACCCACACAGACCUUGAGGAGGGGUCACUUACAGAGAUACCAGGGUAAUAUCCAGAGACUGGCACAUUGUCAGUGCGGGUGGCAGAGACCAGACCUACUGUGAGCACCACCAGAGCCAGGACCAACAGAGCCACGGUCAUCCACAGAGCCGUCCUCCUUCGACGCUGGUACUGAUCUGAAGACAAACCAGAGGUUUGGUCGGAUCAAGAGCUCUUCACACUUAAGGUACUACAGUACUACCACGUUAUUUAUACUUCAAUCCCAUGCCUUAAAAAAGCUCAAGUAUUGAUGACAUUAACAUUUGGUUGGUUUUUUGGUUGUUUUUUUUUACAGUCACUGGAAGUUGACCCUGGGGUCAAUUAUGGUGAACAAUUAACCUAAUCCUCCAUGUGUUGAUUCUGUGGGACAGACAUAUAAACACAAUGAUAUUUCUUCUUGGGGAAUCGGGGGAGAAAUAUUGUGUUUAUAUUAAAUAAUUAUUUAAAUUUAAUUUGAAUUCUUAUUUCUAUUAAAACAUCCCAUUCACAAUUUUUAAUUUGAUACUUUUUUAAAAAUGUAUGGUAAAAGAAACACAAUAGUACUUAAAAAAACCAUUGAUCUGGUAGAUGAACUUUUUUUAAAAAACAAUGACAAAUGACCUCAUACAUUAUUAUUUUAUUAUAAAUUAUUAUUUGUUUUGGACCAGAAUGCUUUGCAGCAUCCAACAUCAAACCUAUAAAGACUACAGACUGGACUCAUGGGACUGUCCUAACAUGUUGCUGCUCUAGUCAUCAGGCAGAUGGGUGAUGGUUUUAUCAGCGCUCAGCUUGAAACAGUACCUGCUGGAUCCAGUAUCUGUGUCCCUGCUGGUGGACUGGUCGGCUGACUCUCAGGCUGCUGCAUUUCCAUUCACUCCACUUUAAUCCAACUUGAAAAAAACGGCUUGUUAUUGUUGUUUAAAAAUUUAAAAAAAAAAAAAGUGAAAAAAAGCUCCUGCUCCUGCAGCAGAACGACUUGGAUCGGGAUCACUGGUCCUCGGUCAGUACUUUUCAGAAGAUAGUUUUCAUCCUCCUCGAAGAACCACUGGCUGCAGUACUGACAUAAUGUGGCUGAAUAAUGGAAUAGUUGGUAUUUAAAUUUAGUUUGAUGGUUUUAGUUGGCCCAGAGCAAAGUGAGAGCUCACACAGACACAACUUUUCUGUCUUGGUCCUGAGAGAGAGUGAGAGAGGGACAGAGAGAAAGACAGAGGGUGAGGAGGUGAGAGAGAAAGAGAGGGGAGGGAGAGUGAGAGCUAGAGAAAAACAGAGAUGGACUUUAUGUUUACAGCGCCCCCAUGUGGCUAAGACUAGGAGAAAUUUCUUUAAAGAAAAUGACAAUAUUUAAUUAAUAUAUUAACUUUUAUUAACUAAAUUAGUUACUUAUUUAUUCAUUGUGUAGAUAAUAGUUUAGAUUAACAGAGGAGGGAAAUGUUUUGAAAUUUUUCGAAGUCCACACGUGUGUGUGUGUUGUUUGGUUGUCGUCUGCAACAACAGCUCAGUUCUUAGAACCUGAGGGCAGCGACCAUACACCUGUGGUUAACAUUAGCCCUGGUGGAGCUAAAUCAAAAUUGAAUUGAGUCAGUUUACUGUAGCGUUGUAUCAGCAAGAAUCAUCCGUUUGUCUCCAUCUAGUGUCCGGACAGAGUCACAGACAGAUGCAGUCACCUGGUAGGAUUUUCUACUAAAGAAAAUAAAACCCACAGACGAACAGUUCUACCAGCUGAACAGCCCAGUUAGUUUAACUGGUGUCUGAGAGGGACUUGACCCAGGAGUGGACUAAUCAAUGGACAUGGACACUGACCUGCAAUUAUUCUGAAGACUGGGUUUAAAUUUCGAUUGCUUCAGCUCUUUUACAGACCUCUACUACCACAACAGUAAGACAUUCUGAAUAAGUUAUUAAAUAAAAAUGUGGAAAAACAACAACUCAUGAUCUUCAGGAACUCCAAGGUCAGGACUUCAUUCUGUUGUUCAGUGACCUCAGGUCUAAAGACGACCUCUGUGUCCAGGAUCUACAGCAGUGAAGGCAUUUCUCCAGAACCUCAAGCUACAGAACAGCUAACAAUUCUAACCUCCCUGAAACACAGAAUCUGGUUAAAUACAGAAGAACUAGGAGAGGACCAGAGGAGACGUCCUGCAGACAUCGGACUGGACCGGAGUUACUGUGAGCUGCUCCGGAUGUUGCUGACAGCUGUAUAACAGCUAACACCUGGGCGUUGGACCGUCACCGUGGAAACAGUCUGUGUCUCGUCGCUCUCCACAGAAACGGAGCCAGCAGCAAACUGAGGGUGGUGACACUGAGAACCAGCAGGUAGACCUGAGGAGAG